UUUCAAUUUCACUGGUUAAAAAAAAAAUCAAUUUGUUAUUUUUGUCAAACAGAUGCGAUCACUCGACAUUGUCUACUAAAGCUUUACAACAAUCAUUUAACCAGAUUCGCUCGAAAUACGGAGCCAGUCAUACGAUGAAUGUUUUAUUAGAAAAUAUCUUAACAGAAACAAUACCAUUGAACAGUUUUUUUUUUUUUUUGAACACCCACAAAUUGGCUUUCUAUUUUCGAGCGUCUUUUUUUUUAUUUUACACAUAAUUACCUAUUACACUCAAUUUUUUUGUGACAUAUGUAUACUAUGCAUGGAACUGCUUAAAUGACUUAAAGGCAAGUUAAGGUGAUGUUUAACAUGAUAAUUUCGUUUUUUUUCCAUACCAAGAUAAAAACAUGUAUUCUAAGGGACCAUUUACCGUAUUGAAAAUUUUACGGUCGAAACGAAUAUAAUAAACUUGCUUGCGCAAACAGGUUUAUAGCAAUAGACGUGUUUUAAAAAAAAUCUUUAAGGCCAAAUCAAAAAACAUCUUUAACGUUACAUCAGCAUUUAAAAAAUAAAAUAGAAAGAUCCAUUUGACAUGGGAAAAACGCAAGAGUACUGGAUUUAAAACAGCGAGUCGGUGCGUGAAGGAAAUUAGUCAGCUUAUGAAACUUACCCUGUUUAGUAAUACACGAAAAAAGAAAAAACGAAUUUUAGUUUAAUAACUUAGUAUAAUAUAUAUGCGUUUCAAAUAACGUGUACGUAAAAGGAUAAUGUCAGAAUAUAGAAUGAAAAAAAAAAAAUUGGAAAAGUAAAAGGGUAAUAUAGGAGAAUCUUACAGUCACGCAAGUUAAAACGUUUAAAUGAUGAAUGGAGUCAAUACCAAACGCCUGAAGUGUGUUAAACCUGCUGGAAUUAAUUGCCUUCUUUUUUCUUUUUUUUUGUUAAGCGAUUAAGAGCAAUUAUGUCAUUUUUACGCUUCUUCUCAACUUGCUCCAAAUAAUGCGUGUUUUCUCGACGCAUUUGUUGAAGUUCUAGAGCACGACUCACUUCACGAGCUUUCUUUUUUCCUGUAUGGUAUUCUAAAAGAUGAUGCCAUUUAAAUUUUGAGAGGUGUAUUAUUUAAAUGAUUGCCAACAAAUUUGGCUACUUUCUUACUGUCAAACUCUAUCCAGCCAUCUUUAAACAUUAUUUUCUUUGAUCCACCAGCUCUUAGUCUUUUUUUUCGUUCGACUAGCAAACAAAAAAAAAAAAUUAUUUUUCUAUACGGUCAUUGUUUUACCUGGAUUUUCGGGAGUUAAAAAAAUACGAUGAACCUUUCCAAAGUUUUCCAUAUACUGGCGAAGCUUGGUAGCAUUCAUGAAACAGGGAAUACGUGAAACAUAAACAAUGCCUCUUGUUUCUUCGUUUUCAUCCGUAGGAUCAGUAGUUUUGUUUAAAAAGGUUUGACUUGUACUGCUUGAUUCUAUAGCCAAGACAUUCUUUACAAAGCUAAUGUUACUAUUUUGACAAAUUUCAAGAUUAAAAUUCUUCUCCUCCUUUUCUUCACAUGUUGUUACUUUGUUUUGUAUUGCUGCUGGUUCCUUUUGGUGUUUAAUCAUUUUCUUGUGCUAAUUAUUUUUUUUUAAAAACCGUAAAACUGUAAGAAUGAAAAUUCAGGGUUUACAAAGCAAAAAUUUAAGUGAUCCUGAUGACAAUUUCUGACACAAAAGGUGAGCUAAACAGUUGUUUGCGAAAUGUAGGCGGAAAGUUUUUGUUAAGUCUUCAAACUGACAUUAUACUUGCAUGAACAACCCUCACAAAACACGAUUGUAAAUGACUGAAUGUAAAAUGUUUCAAACGUAGUUUACAGGAAAGCGUAAUUUAAAUAAGCGACAAGAAAAAAAAAACGUAUCAAGACCAACGUUUUCCGUUUCACUCAAAUUUAUUUGUAAUUUUUUUUCAAGAAAUUCAAAAGCUUCCAAAACGUGUUGGAAUUCCUCCGUUGGCUUGGUGGAUGUCUUUGCUUCUUUUUCAAGUUGAUGAGCAAUUUUGUCUGGAUGACAGUGUAGGGCUUUACGUCUGAAACAUUUUUGGAGUGCAUGGAGAUCUUUAAUUUCUGUUAUAUUAAGUAAUGAUAAUGCUGUUUCAUAUGUCAUUACCAUUACCCUUAACAAUUACGCAGGCAUCCUUGACCGUAACAGAUCUGUCCUGGAACUCAUUGUCUGAUCUUAUCAAACACUUUUUAAACUGGUCCAAAACAGAGACCUUUUUACCAUUUUUUUUUUAUGAAAAAAAGCCUGACAUUACAUAUACAAAAUG